AAUGUUGGCAUUCAUUCUUAUAAUCCCACCAAGAUGCCUUAACCUAUUAAGGUUAACUUAGACUAUCUGGGUGAGGUUUUAAUUACCUUAAUUACCACUGCGUUGCCGAUGACAGAUGAUUAGGAUAGGGGUCCUCCAAACAAUUGACCUUUAAUGAACGACAAGAUAUCUUAUUGUAAUUAUGUUUAUCUUAAUUAUGUGAGUGUGAGUCAAUUAAGCAAAUUUGGUUAGAUAUUGUAUUGAAUUUGGAUGCAAAGAAACGUAGCCUACAAUAAAGGAAAUGGGAUCCACUUUUACAAAUUUCUAUUAACUCGCCCAAAGCUGUUGAAAUCCUGGGAAAAGGCUGUCAAAAGAAAAAAAUCUGAAAGAAACUGUUUAGUAUUGAUUCUUUGCAGUAGACAUUUAUCUGAUGAUGAAGUUAAAGUUAGAUAAGACUUGGAGUACUUGUCAAGCUCCUUAAAGAUGACGCUGUACUCACCGAUUGUGUACAGCAGUUCAGAAAAAAAAACACAGCCGUGGACAACUUUUCUAUGGAUAGCCUGAUAUUGUUGAGACUCCAAUUGAACCCAUGGAGAUUAAGACGCCAAGACAAAGCACAGGGAAAAUCAAACGGAAAUCAGCCAAAUCCACCACAGCAAACACACUCAAAUUGAUAGUUCAGUUUCUCCAAUGAAAAAAACUCCAAAUGUAAUGGCCUAAGACUUGGAUAAAAGAAUCACCUUGUUUUUGUGAAAUGUUUAAAU